GCACAAUUGUGCUAGUUUAUUCAAAAGAAGGGUUACCUAUGGUUGCAUUAAGGUUAGUAAUUAUUGGAAUUUUGAAAAUGGAAAUGCUAGAGAAUUAAAACUAUAUGAUUUAUAUAUGGUAAAAUGUAGCUGAUUUCUCUUUGUCCAACCAAAUAGUAAAUUGACUACUAUCUAUGUUCUGGUUUGUAGAUCCUUAGAGGAUGUCAUCGAGUGUUUG
rnacentral:misc_RNA from 1 species